GACAAGUUCGAGCAUCUUAAAAUGAUUCAACAGGAGGAGAUAAGGAAGCUCGAGGAAGAGAAAAAACAACUGGAAGGAGAAAUCAUAGAUUUUUAUAAAAUGAAAGCUGCCUCUGAAGCACUGCAGACUCAGCUGAGCACCGAUACAAAGAAAGACAAACAUCCUGAUCCAUAUGAAUUCCUCUUAUUAAGAAAAAUAAAGCAUCCAGGAUUCAAUGAAGAACUGACUAUCACCUUGUUAAUCAUUCAGAAACAUGUUGCAGGCUUAAGCCAUUUUUGAUAUAGAUACUGAAACAAUUACUUGCUAAGAGCAAACUUGAAGGUAUGGAUAAGGCCCUGAGUCAUCUUCCUGAGCUGAAUGAUAGUUAAGCUGAAUUAACAAUUUGGACAAGACAGCAAAUGCUAUUGUCCAAGUUUUCUAAAGAAGAAUCUGAAGUGAAAUGACAUCAAGAGACCUAUCAAGACCUGUAUCCAGGAAAAGACCAAACCAAU
ensembl:lncRNA novel transcript